UAUAUUAGAGCCUGUUGAUCAAUAAAAGUCUUUUUUUUAAAUAAAAAAUAAAAAAAAAUCCUGAGCGGGGCCUUUUUUGUGGGCGGGCGGGGACGCUAACCAACUAUUUUUUUUUAUGUGGCCUUUAAAGUUGGGAUUAGUCCCUAAAUUCGGAUUAGUCUCUAAACUGUUCCUUCCACCGUAGCUGUGCUCCGGAUUCAGACAUCAUUCAUAAUUUCUGAGGAAGCCUUCGUC